rfam:Vigna angularis cultivar Jingnong 6 C2778881_1, whole genome shotgun sequence.
AGGUGCGAUCAUACCAUCACUAAUGCACCGGAUCCCAUCAGACCUCUGCAGUUAAGCGUGCUUGGGCGAGAGUAGUACUAGGAUGGGUGACCUCCUGGGAAGUCCUCGUGUUGCAUUGU